rnacentral:rRNA from 1 species
GUUUUAAAAAAGAUAGGUUCUGCUAUCACUCUUGGAUGGGACCUGCGGUGCAUUAGCUAGUUGGUAGGGGUAACGGGCCUACCAAGGCGAUGAUGCAUAGCCGAGUUGAGAGACUGAUCGGCCACAUUGGGACUGAGACACGGCCCAAACUCCUACGGGAGGCAGCAGUAGGGAAUCUUCCACAAUGGACGCAAGUCUGAUGGAGCAACGCCGCGUGAGUGAAGAAGGGUUUCGGCUCGUAAAGCUCUGUUGUUGGUGAAGAAGGACGAGGGGUAGUAACAACCUUUGUUUGACGGUAAUCAAUUAGAAAGUCACGGCUAACUACGUGCCAGCAGCCGCGGUAAU